GGAGCAAAGAUAGUAGUAAAUGUAGGAGUAAAAUCUACCGCUAUGGAUCACUACACUAUCAUGCUCUACACUAACCAACUGUAGGAAAUGUCAAAUCUGACCCAAUCCAAUCGGGACUGUAGGCAUACCCGUCCCUGGGACUGUGAACACACCCGUUUCUACCCAGUUGUGACUAUCCAGCUACCUCCACAUUACUAGCCGUGGAGAGCAAGUCCAACCGGCAUGAGCGACACCAACGCGAAAGCACAGCGCCCGUCUCCGGAGUGGCACUCGUGGGAGCUACCCAACCGAGUAUGCAGCGUAUCUCUGUAGAGCUCAAUCAGGCUCUCAAAAGCCAAAGUCAAAUAACCGACUCAAACUGGUCUAACAACCAACAGGUAACGUGCUCUCGGCACAAUCUGACGCCAAAUAGGCGAUACGGGUCCACCGUCAACCCCCACAGCACCCAACAGUCCGGAACAGGAUGAACGCUACUGUAAAAAUACACUCGGCAUCCCAGCACGAGCGUAACUAAAAUCUAAACUAUCUGGGAUACUCACUAUGAGGAUAUUGGAACAGUAUAAAUUAAUACAACGGCCCCUAGGGCUAAAUCAAGUAGUUAAACAUAUGACGAUGAUAAUCGCGAGUUUUAUCCUUAGUCUCAUCCAAGUCCAACAUGUAUAUAUAUUCAAAGAUAAUAACCAAGGCUCCAAUUCAGAUUAUUAACCAUACUAAAUCAAUGAACCGAGCAAUUACGACACACAAAAUAAUUCCACGAAUACAUGUCGACUAUAUAGGCACUUAGGAGUAAACCGAUGAUUAACCCACCUUAAUCGCAAAUCCUCGACAGUGAAGAAGGUCACCGGAGUCCCUGUCAAGCUCGGCGUAGCUCCCCGAACCAGCGACAACAACGCUCCACGGGUCUAAACAUAGAAGCCCACAAUAAACCUCGAAUCUGCCCAAAGCAACAGCAGCAGAGAGAAAUAGGGAUACGACCAAGCUAACCUUUACCAAAUUCGGCAAUUAAAGGUUUCGUGGAUUCCUCUAGAAAUGCUGAAUCCAACAAACCAAGUUUCGUCGCAAUCCGACACUCCUACGUCGAGAACGAGCCAAACGCCAACGGUCGACGUUGGAAAAUCUGCAAAUCAGCACUUAGCUCGAAUUUGAUGAUGCUUGGAAAUGAAGAAGCAAUUCGACGGAACACCUACCUUGAUAGCGACUAGCACCAGUGCGACGUCAAUAAUGGCGAAGAUCCACGCUCGCCCGGCCUCCUUGCGAUGUAAUGGCAGCAACCGUAUCCCCGAACGGCUCCGCGGCGCGACGUCGGCGACAAAAGCUCCAACUGAGCUCCUCCCUAGCCUACAAUCGGUUUGAGAGUGAGAGAGAGAGGAAGAAGAAGUAGAGGAACUUUCUCUCUCUCUCUCUCCACACAAGGUUAAAUAGAGAGAGGGAGAGCUGGUGACACAAACGAGGCUCGAAAAGACUGAAAUGCCCCUCUACCUACCCAGGCGUACCGGUACACGGGCCGAAGUACCGGUACAAAGGCUAACCCGAGAGCAACCCGCGCGCAGCCUGAUGAAGUGUACCGGUACACCUUGAUGGCUGUACCGGUACAGCAAGCAGAAAAACUGCUAUUUUGCAGAUUUUCUCGCCAAAUGCUACACUCGCGUCGCAGAGAGUCCGUUUUGCGUCUAUUUCACGCCAAAGCGACUCGGACUUGUCCCGACACUCUCAUGAGUUGUCGACAAGCCUCCACAGCCGAACACCAGGGAUCUCACAAUUAUAUUCAUUUUUAAUAAUUUAUACUUAAAAUACUCUUACAAAUAACAAAAAUAUAUUAAGAUUUUAUUUUUUUUUCUUAUCGAAGAAGUAAGGACGAUAUGGUCAUUUUGCCCUCUUUAUUAAUGUCGUACAUCUCUGAAAAUAUUUCUGAAAUUUUAAGAAGGCAAAAUGUAAGUUUUUGAAAGUCAGGAGGAAUAGUAAAAAAGCGAAUAAUUUUUUAAAAAAAUUCUACAAUUUAGCCUUAUUUUCUAAUUUUUUUAAUAAACUUUUUAUAUUAAAUAAUAGGCGUAGAAAUUGAAUAUUUAUAAUUCUUACAUUCAAAAUAUUUAUUUGGCAGUAAAAAAUUAAAGAUUUUGCUUUUUCACUUUUUUGAAAGAGAUUGUUAUCUAUUUUCUAUGAUAAAAAUUAAAAAUUAAUCGGCUAGUAAUUUUUAGUAAAAAUGUGAAGAGCCCUCCUCAAAUACAGGUCAUUAAUUUUACACCGCUCAUUACUCUUUUAGUUAUUUCUAUUGAUUAAAUCAGGGUUGUCGUUAAAAUUAAUUUUUACGCGCUUAAAAUAAGAAAAUAAAAUAAUAAAAAGUUACGAAGAGUUCCAAUAAAUAGAAAACUAAUUGAAGAUCUCUUUCAAUAUAGCCUAUCAUCAAAGGGGCUUUCCAUGCAUUUUUACCACAUUAUUAUUAUUAUUAUUAUUAGGUUAAAAUACAAAAAAUCUCUUUGUAAAUAAUUUUUUCAGUUUUUUCUGACUUUCAAAAACCUAUAUUUUGCCUAUUUAAAAUUUCAGAAAUAUUUUCAGAAGGUCACGGUACUAAUGGAGACGGCGAAAUGACUAAAUCGCCAUGACUUGUUCUGUAAGAGAAAAAAAUAAUAUUUUUAAUAUAUUUUUAUAUUUUUAAGGACAUUUUUGAUAUAAAUUAUAAGAAAUUGACGGAAUUAUAACAGAACUCUUACGGAGGGGGACUAAAUCCAUCAACUUAAAAUUUUGAGUGGGUAAAAUAUAAAUGUUUAAAGGUUAAAAAAAUAAAUAUUUACAGAAAAAUUUUCUGUAUUUCGAUUUUAUUAUUAUUAUUAUUAUUAUUUUCAUAAUGGAAACUAACUCUCCAGAAUGCACAUGGGUGCACAUUGCAGAUGAAUAUUUCCUGAGCAGAUUACCUGCUGUGAACUUGAGGCUUGGUCAAGCUGCAGUUCGAUUAGCUGCAACCCUAAACCGCGUUUUCCGACAAAGCUGAGAUUAAUCGCGCUUUCCGCUUGUGUUUAGCUGCAAAAUAAAAUUUAAACCUCGUUCAAAAGUUUAGAUAUUUUCCUUGCGUCGCAUAAUAUGUCAACGUUCGUGAUCAUUUAUUUGGGUAAACUUUACUUUGUCUUUCUGGUAGUUUAGCAUAUUUUCACUUUAUCUCAGGCGGUUCAACAAAUUGCACUUAACUACUCUGUUAUUUUUAUUGUUAUUCCGCCGAAAAACUUGUUCAUCAAAUAGGAUAGUAAAAUAAAAUUGUUGAGAAACAUUAAAUGAUAUUGUUAAAUAUCAAAAUAUAUAAACACCAUUCUCUAACAGUUUAAGCUUUUAAAGUAUAACGAUUGCUUUACAUGAUAUCAAAGCAAGAGGCCUCGAGUUUGAGUCACGUCAAGCUUUAAGGCGUUAUUAACCCACAGCGUGGCAAAUGAAAACAUUCUAUACUAUAUAUAAGAGAGUUAAGUGAGGUAAAUUAUAAUUUACCCUUUUAAUUUCUUAUAAAUAUUUCUUGAUCUGAACAAACGGACGCCUUAUUGAAUAUUUCUAGUUACAAAAAUUAUUGGGAUAAUUUUAUAUGUAUUCCUGCAAAGUUUUAAACUUGCUAAUUUAUUCAUAUAAAGUUUAAAACUUUGCAGAUUUAUUCAUAUAAAGUUUGGAUUAUCAAGAUAUUUCUCUGAGUCUCCCAAAAAACACAAAUUUAAUAAUUUUUUUUUGAAUUUAUAAUUUAUAGUUCAUGUAGAAAGACACCAAAGUUAAAGAUAAAAAUACUAGAAAUGAUAAAUGAUGUUAGAUAGUAUUAAAAAGAUAAUAUAUUUAAGAAUAGAAGCAUUAUUUUACAGAAGAAAUGUUAACUUCAAUCAUUCAAUUAAUAGGAAGAGAUAUAUUUACAAACUAUGCAACUUAAAAAAAUAGGAAUAAUUACCUAUAUAGCCUCAUACGUUUGAAAAUAUCUAAUUUAUCCUCCCUCUUUUUUUUCUUUCUAAAAUAUCCUUCAUAUGUUCCACCGUUAUUGCAAAAUACCCCCACAGUUAUCUAAUGUUAAGUUAACUUGGGUUAAACGUGAGUUAAAUAUCUACCAGAGUUAAAAAAAAAUUAAAAUGUCAAUUUUGCCCUUAACUUAAGGGCAAAUAAGAAAUAUUGGCGACGGUAGAGGGGUAUAUUGGAAAAGAUCAAAAGUCAAAAUAUUUUUUGUGCCCCUGACUUUAAGGACAAAUAAGAAAGUUAGUAAUAGUGGAGGGGUAUAUUUGAAAGGGCAAAAUAGUAAUUUUACAGAGAUAACAGAGUUAAUUAACAGAUUUUAACUCUAGGGAUAUAUUAGAAAUAGGUUGGAACGUAGAAAGGGUAUUUUCAAUAUUAGCCUUCUAAGAUGGAUAAAUUGGAAAGUCGGAAACUUUUCAGGGAUAUAUAAGCAAUUGCCCCCCAAAAAAUAUAUAUUUUAUAGAAUUAGGCUACUAUACUAUCUAUAGUACCGGAGCUCCGGUACUAUAGUGUUGUUUUCGAUCUUAGGGCAUUCAAAUCAACGAUCCACACCGUUAAAUAUGAUCUAGGGUAUAUGAAGUUCUUAGGAAUAAAAUUUUAGUUUUUUUCGAUAUCGUUUACUUAGUAAAUAAAUUAUGUCAAAAUGGACGGUGGAAAUUGAAUACUCUUUAAAAUUUGAGCAUAGGACUUUUAAAUUUAAGAUCAAGAAUGUUAACCUUAAUCUAUAUAGUUUAAAGUAUUUUCUAUCAAAAUUUGAAGAAAUUUAGAUUCUUCUACACCGUUAAACUCCAAACUUGUCAUAAUAGCUAUUGAAAAUUGACAAUUUUGAAAUGGUUUGAUCAUAAAGUAAACUAUGUCGAAAAAAUAUAAAAUUUUAUUUUUAAAAACUUUAAAUACCAUAGAUCAAUUUUAACGGUGUGGAUCGUUGAUUUGAACGCCCAAAGAUCGAAAACAACACUAUAGUACCGGAGCUCCGAUAUUAUAGAUAGUAUAGUAGCCUAGCUCAUAUUUUAUAACUAUAAGAGAUUAAUCUAAACUUUUUUCAUAUUUAUUAUGCAGAAUAUUUUUUAGUGUAUAUUUUAGUUUAGAGUGCAGCAAUUAAUCAUGUAGAUGCACAUACAUACAGCUGGGAGAUGGUAUUGCAUAGAUUUUUUUUUCAUUUUUAUUUUGGUAAAACAGUAUGGAAACCCCCUCAAGUAUAGACAAAUUGGAGAAAGCCCCUCCAAUUCUUUUGGAAAAACUUCAAAUACUACACUUUCGUUUAGCACUUUUUUUAUUUUACUGUCCGGUGGCUUAAAGUGUAUCACUUUAGUACCAUAUGAUUUCAUUUUUUUUUUUUCCAUUAAGCCCUACGUUAAUUUCUCUAUUUAAGUAUAUAGAAAAAACUUUAGACACCACGCUUGUGGUUUACUAAUUUUUAAUUUAGUAUUCUGUAAUUUUAACUUAAUUUAUCACUAGUUUAAUAUAAAACUUAAUGGAGGGGAUAACGAAAAAAAAAGAAGAAGAAAUUGUAGGAUACUAAAAUAAUACAUUUUACACCAUAGGAUAUUAAAGUAAAACGCAAAAAAAUCAUACUGUGGGUAUUUAAAGUUUUCCUAUUUUAUUUAUUAAGACUAUUCAAUUUCUUUUUUUUUUAUUCUGACUUUUAUACUUAGUUAACUUAUUAAAGUUCUACAAAAUUUAAUGAAUUCAUUGGUUAUUAACCAUUACUUGAUCUAGUUCUAUUUGCUAAAGAAAUACUUAAAGUCACUAAAUUGGGUAAAAUCUCAAAUAAAUUUGAUAAAAUUCUAGAUAUUUUGACAAAAAUCAGUUUAUCUAAAACAUCAGAAGUUGAGGUGGUCUGAAUUAGAAAGAAAAAAAGUUGAGGGGGGUUUUCCCAAAUGUCCUAUCGUUUAUAUAUAUAUAUAUAGAGAGAGAGAGAGAGAGAGAGUUGAGAGAGAGAGAGAGAGAGAGAGAGUUGAGUUGAAAUACUAUCGGUAGCAAAUGAGCUUCAUUGCCACCCAUUUAUUUUUUAUGAUGGAGCCUCCAAAUCGACGAUCGGCAUCGUUGAAUAUGAUCCAUACCACUUGAAGUAUCUAGAAACCAAAUUUCAACUCUAUAUAUAUAGAGUUAAGCUGGAAUGCUAUCAGUAGCAAACGGGCUCCGUUGCCAUCCAUUUGUUUUCGAUGAUGGAACCUCCAAAUCGACGAUCGGUACCGUUGAACAUGAUCUAUAGCACUUAAGGUAUCUAGAAAUUAAAUUUUAUGCUUUUUCGAUAUUGUUCUCUUGUCCAUCAAGUGGGUGCAAAAAUGAACGGCUGAAAAUGAAUAUCCUCUAAAAAGUGAAGAUAGAAAUUUUGUAAUCAANUUUUUUUUUUUUCUCCCUCUCUCUUCAAUUUCUUUUCUCCCUUCUUUUUCUUUAAGCCCAAUUUAAUUUUUUAUUUUUUACUAUAAAUAUUUAAAAUAUAUAAUAAUUUUUACAUAGUUUAGACUAUUUAUAUUAAAUAUAAAUUUUAAUUUUAUACUCUUGAGCAUUUAAAUAUAAAUUGUACAUUAAAAAAUAAAAAAAAAAUUGAUGGCAUUUAAGUUAAUUUUAUAUUUUAUAAAAUUUAGUUACAAGAAUAGUAUAAAAUAAGCUACUUAAAUCUAUAGAACGAAGCGAUACAUUCAGAUUUUAAAGUCAAAAUACUAUUGAUUGACUCAUAUCUAAUAUAUCGAAUAAUUGAAUAAUCAAAAUAAAAUUUUGAAAGAUUGGAUUUAUACUUUUCGUCCUUCAAACUAUAAGACGAGUGACACUUUAAUUCUCGAACUUUAAUAUGUUAUGAUUUAAACUAUGAGGCAUGUGAUACUUUCAUCUUUAAAUUUUAAUUAGUUAUAAUUUCUAACUUACAAUAUGAGGCAUAUCAUUUUAGUACUCAACGUUUAUUGCUGCUAUGAAUAUCAUUUAUUAUUCGUAUGGUUUUCACCCUUAUUUUUGUAAUCCACUUAUAAUCUAUUCUUAUAUUUUUAUUGCAGUAAUAAUUGCUUAUUAUUCGGUUGCUUUUUUUUAAUAUAAUUUUUUGACUCUUUUUUUUUUGCUAUUAUUUAUUUAUUUAUUUAUUUAUUUAUUUCUACAAAAUCGUCCCGCUGCAACUCACGGGUCUUUCACUAGUUAGUAAUUAAAUAUUUAGUUUUAUUUUAUAAAAAUAACUAUAAUUUUUUAAUGUGGUCAAGAUACUAUUUUGGUUAAAUUAGAUAAACUAGAAAUAAUGGGAGAAAACCCUAUUAAAUAUUGGGACAAAGAUAAAGUAUUUUGGAAACUAGAAAUCAUAAAUCUUGAAUAUAUUAUACGAACAGCAACUAUAGAAGCUACAAACUAAAAAAAGAAGAGUUUAAAAUGCAUAUAGAUAAAUUAAUGAAACUUGGUAUUAUUCAAAGAUCAUAAUCAAAAUAUAGGUGUGCUGCUUUUACAGUAAACUAGAUUUUCACCCGUGCGAUGCACGGCUAAUAUAAUAAUAUAGAAUAAUAAAAAUAAUUAUGUAAUGAUAACAAAAAAAAUUUUUAAUUAAUUUUAUAUUUUUUAACAAAUAAAAAAAUAUACUAUCAAUCUUAAUUAUAGUACAUAUUAAAGUACACAAGCUAGAGAAAAAAAAAAUUGGACCAAAGUAAAUAUUCAACUAAAAUGCAAAAUUCAAUCCUGCUCUAUUAUCUAUAAAUUGGUGUGCAAAAUAAUUUAUAUUUACAUAUUGAUGUGCGAAAUAAAAUGAUAACUAAAAUUGAUAUGAAAAAUUACAAAUAACAUUAAUAUUUAAACAUAUAAUGAGAUCAACUAAACUUUCAUAUUUGAUACACAUUAGAGUAAGCACACAUAUAUUAUGUUUCUAUUGUCACUUUUAAGAUUCAAAAAUAUAAAGAUGUUGGUUUUCAAAAAAAUAUAAAGAAAAAAAUUUUGUUGCAUGAAAAUGAAAAGUUACAGGAGUGACAGUAGGAAAAAAAAUUACGAAAUGAAAAUUACAAAAGUAACAGGGAAAUAAUAUGUUCUAUUUUAAAGCAUCAAUAUUUAAGAGCGAAGAAAAUUACAGGAGUGAUGUGAGUUUUAAAUUUUUUUCUCUUUCCAAAAAUGUCUCUAUCCUUUUUUACUAAUAUUUUUAUGUCCAGAAAUUUUCAACCAAUCAUUUCAAAUAAUUAAAUAAGUAAUAAUUUAUUCCCAAAUAAAAAUAAAUAUUUUUCUUCUCAAGCGUAAUAUCCGCACCGCCAAUUCUUUCUCAACAUAAUAUCCAUAAAUUUCUCAAAUAUCUCAAUGACUUUGAAAUAAAAUUUCUUUCAUUAUAUGUGAUUUUUAAUAAUAUAGUAAAAAAAUUAAUUUUUUAUAAAAGCGUGAGUUUUUAAUUUUUUCUCUUUCCAAAAAUAUCUCUAUCAUUUUUUACUAAUAUUUUUAUGUUCAGAAAUUUUCAACCAAAUAUUUCAAAUGAUUAAAAAUAAGGGAAGAUGUGCAUGGCGUAGUUGAGGUACUAUUUAAUAAAAUUUCGUUGAAAUGUACAGUUUGCUGAGCAACAUCUAUCCCACCUCUGAAUUUUAGUAUUGUUCUAGUACAGAAAAUUCUUGCUUGAAUCUUGAAAUCGUAUUCGAUGCGCUAGCUAGAUUUAUAAAAGGCUUAAUAAUCUAGUGUGUCCUCAUUAAAGUUUUUUUAAAAUAUCCUUCGAAAGAGUAUGUACAUUACGUCUGAACAAACAAUAUAAACCGUUUUGAUUAAAGAAAAAAGAAAAAGAAAAAGAAAAAGAAAAAACAAUGUUAACCGUUUGUAAUGAUCGAGGGAUUGUUGAUUUGAUAUGGAAUGAGAUUCAAAAGCCUACACAUAUAUAGUAGCCGUAUACUCUGGCGUGUGCAUGCUAGAGUUUAUGUGAGAAGAUGUGUAUGCCCUAAAUAAUUGCCACAUCUAGUUCUUAUAAGAUGAUAUUAUAUAUCCAUCAAUAAAUAAAUAUAGAGAGAGUACGUAGUGCUAUACUAAGCACAAUUUUACAAACUUUUUAUAAAAUUUUCCAGCUUGUUACAUUUCAUAUAUUGGUAGUUGGUCAUGAAUCACGAAGCUAAGAAAUAAAUAUAGUCAUUGAGAAACUAAUGGAUCCGUUGAACAUUCGUAAACAAUUUGAGAUAAUUAGAGUAGCAUAGUAUACUAUAUUUAUUAAUUUGUUGGAAGUUAAUUAUAAUCUAAAUUUAUCUUCAAGGGCCUAUUUGGCUCAAAAAAAAUAAAAUUUCUACGAAAAUUAAUUUUUUAAGGAAUUAUAAUUUUAAAAUUAAAUUUCAAUAUUGUAGGAGUAUGAUUGUUUGUUUUGUAUCUUAGAAAACCUAGGAUUAUAUAAUACUUACGUUAGGUUCAACAUAGGAAAUAUAUAAUUGGAUUAUAUUGAUAAGUUUAGCAUAAUAUCCUCAUUAAUAAAGAUUGAUAUUAUUAUAUAUAUUAUAACUUUUAUACCAAAUAGGAUGAUAAAUAUUAUACUUAAAAAGGAUAUUUUAGUCCAUUAAAAUCAAUUUCCGUGGAGAAAGAAAAAAAGCAAGAGAGGAAGCCCGUUUCGAAUUCACAUGUUUUUUGGAAUAAGAAUAUGCUUAACGUAAGAAUUGUUGGAAAAUUUUUCUGAUCUUUUAUUAAAAAAUUCUUUAAAAUUAAUUUGAAAGUUUAAUUUCAAUUUUAAAAAAAUUCCGAAAGAAAAUUAAAUAAUAAAGACCGUAAAGAAAAUGAUUAGAAAAGGCCUGUAAAUCGAGGUAUGCUGAGUACUGUCCUAGAAGCGAAAUUGCCCCUCCAUAUGCGAGGCUUCCCGGCAAUUACAUCCAGCGAUAUAAUGACCACGUUCCACCGCAUCGGCAUGAUUCGAAGGUGGCGCAAGACGAACCCAACAAGCUUUAAAUCCAGCAAAAUUUGAGAAAACUCGGCGAAAAUCGGCGCAAAAGAUCAAUGACGAGAAAGUAGGAAAAGACGAGAUAGAGGAUAGGGUUUUGCUCUUAGGUAUGCCCAUAUUCAGGUUAAACUCACGCAACCCCCUCCAAUAUAUAUAACCAAGGCAAAAAUCUUACUUCAACGCAUCAAUUCAACAUGUCAAUUCCGUGUAGGAUAAAGAUAAAACCGAAAAAAAAAUAAAAUAAAAUAAAUCGGAUGCAUGGACCGCGCGCGCCAGUGUCCUCCCGGCUUGGCUCGGCUCGUGCCGUGCGUGUGUUUAGUCGAGGGCAUAACUCUCAUUUUCUCUCAAGCAACUAGCUUGAGAAUAAAAAUAACAACAUUAUACUUUUAGUUUCUAAUAAGGGACUAAACCUCACAUAUGAAAACUUAAAUUAGGGUUCUAGGCAAGGCCCAUUAAGUAUUGAGCUGCCUAAGAGGCCGAAUAAGUUUUAAAUCACCAAAAAUCCAAUAAACUCUAACAAGAAUUACAAAUUUUUGUCGCUUUGUGACUAACCAAAUAAUAAUUCUUAACUCUCAUUCCUAGGAAUUUUGAAAAAUAUUGCGAACCAAACAUGUCUUAAUGGUCUAAAGUUAAAAGUGUUAUUAGCUAGUUUUUAAAUAAUUCGUUUUUUUUAUCUUUGACUCAGAUGAUUAGUUGAUGAUAGGUUUAGUCCUCAUGAUUUGGUUUCUACAGGUACAAGAAUAAGAGUGGUCCACAGGAGAAACUAGAUAUUGUUUAGAAAUUUGAUUAAUAAAAUCUCAUGUUUACUAAUUAUCAUUUCCUCCAACAUCUCUUUUCCAUAUCAUUUUACUAUAUAUAAUAAUGUUUAUGAUACAUGCCGUUAUACAGCGAGUAUAAGACGAUAUUACAAGUGGUAUCAGAUUGAAUAUUUUUUCGAACAAGUAGGAUAGUCUAUUUUUGUCUAGGUUAAUAUUAUAUUAGCAUCCAAUCAACGAAAUUAGACUGUUAGACAUAAGUACUACAAUCUGGAAAGUUUCAGCCGGAAAUAGCAAAAGAUGAAAGCACAAGGACUAAUAUAAACUAUCAUAGUUUGAGGACUAAAGGUGUAAUUUAAACUUUUCUCUACCAGCUAUCUCAAAUGUUAAAACUUUUCAACUAUAUAUUAUAUAUCUCUCUUCGGUCCACUGUUUUUGCACCGCGAAACGAUUGGCCAUUAAUUUGCACAUUAUUAUCUGCUGUCCCAAGAAGCCGAUUCCCCCUAACCCUAACCCUAACCCUAACCCAACAACCAAACGAAAAAUUGGGGCACUGUUUCCUACUGUUCAUUUCUCUACCCUUUACAACAGUGUUUAUAUCAACCACAAGGGACCAUUCUUUUAUUAAUGUAAAAUUGAUUGCCCAAACCUGAAGGGUUGUGGAGCGGACCCCCUAACCCUUUACAACAGUAUUUACCUCCCUACCCUUCUAGCUAGGGCCCGGGGCAUAUAUUCGUGGUGAGGUUUGCGCUCUUGCUUCUUUUUUUAUUUCUACGGUAUCACAACAUAUUUGAAAUUCUAAAAUUAAAUACGUUAAUCUUUUUUAUCUUAAAAAUCUGAGAAUAGAAUAUUAUACUACUGAAUAAAUUACUGUAUGAAAAUAAUGCUUUACGGAACGAUAUAUAUUAUAUUAAAAUUUUCUAUGUCCUCCACACUCUAAUAGAACAGCUACAAUCAUAUAUAUCACAUUAAUAUUUAUUUUGCGGCCACAUUAGUCUAUUUUUUUCGAUAAUUUUUUUUAUUAAAUACAGAAUAUUUAUUUAUUUUAUUAAACUUUUUUUAAAAAAUUCUCCAUUUAGAACAAUAUGUUUCAAACAAAAAAAAAGUCUUAAAUCAUAAUAAAUUUUAAAAUUUGAGUGCUAAAAUAAUAGCACUGCUAGCUGAGGGGCUCUUCUUAAGGAACUCGUCCCUUUAAGUAAUCCGUGCAAUACGACGGAUAGAUAAUUGAAGAAAAAAUAAAAAAAAUGACGACAAGAGAAAACAGCAAUGAAAGAAAUGGCUAUAAAGGAUGAGAUUCAUCUUGCCGAUGAAGGAAACUGAAGGAAGAGGAAGAAGAAUAGUUCGGUUCAUUGUAGAGGUGUAACCCGGUUCGGUUCAAGACAAAAAAAAAAAAGGUUGACCUGGUACGAUUUAAGUAAAGAAAGAGAGAAAUCAGAUUCAUUUCAAGCAAAAAAAGAAAAACAUGUAGAAGACGAGCCGGUUCGGGAGAGUCCAUACUUAGCAAUAAUCAGUUCGGUUCAAGCAAAAAAAGAAAAAAAUCCAGUUCGACUUAAGCAAAAAAAAAAAUGAAAACAUGUGGAGAAUCUCAGCCAGUUCUAAUUAGAGCCCACACUCAAUAAUGAAGGACAUGUUGUCAUUUGGCAAAUUUAAGAAGAAUAAUGUAUAGGUAUAGAUUAAUUAUUCCGCCUUUAUUAAUUAGGAGUAGUGUUGGAACAAAUAGUUAGGGUGGGCAUGGUUAGGUUUCAUUGAGAUUAUAAGAUAAAGUUAUCCAAUUCCAAUCCACAAACUAGUUUACCAAAAUCAUAAGUUAAUUAACCAAAUCAUGCAUCGAGUAGCUAGAAAUUUCAGACCGAAACUUUCGAUUUGGUUUUGUGCUGAUUUUUCUAUUUGAACAGUUAAAUUUGACCUAAAGACGAUCUGUACAGUUUAUUGAUUUCAAUAUAUUAGUUUAAUUUAUCAAGGUUCUUUAGAUUAUCUCUCUUCCUCUCGGGCAUAAAUUAGGACGCACGUAUAUACUAUUACUUUGGCUUUUCGGUUUGAGCUGGGAAUUUUUUUUUAAAAAAAACUUCAACCCAAAACUGAAUCAAAAUUUUUGGUUCGGAAAUUUCUUGAACUAAUUAAUUAAUUUUAAACUUCUUACAAUUAAAACUGAAUCAAACCGAAUAAAAAUUGUCGAUUAGAUUUCAUUCCGUGGUUUUCUUGAAUUUCAUGCUCACAUUUAAGAACAAGCUUCUGCUUCUGCUCUGGAUUGCAAUCAUUUUGAAUAACAUGUUUAUUAAAAAAAAUCAAAAGUGUCCAUAAUGACAAAAAGUUUUUUUUAUUUUUUAAGAGAAAGGUAGCAUGCUAUCCGUUUCGUUUAUUUCGUUGAGAAAUAAAUUUAGCUGAAAAUAUGCAUCAACUAGGAUUCGAAUUUGGGUCUCGAAUACCAACCACCAAAUCCUUUUGCCACUUGUGCUAGGGACGGUCAGUAUAAUGACAAAAAGUUAAAAAAGGAUUUGUACCAUAUAGAUAGAAUAUCGGAUAAUGUGAAGAUUUUAAUAUAAACUUCUUCUAAGCCCCAUUCGUAUGUAGGCCAUUUUGAAAUUGAUUCUUCAGCUUUUCUUUUUGGAAACACCCCUCAACUUUUUAGGGUGUUUUUUCUAAUCUAAGUUAGAUAACUAAAUUACUAACUCUAUUAACUAUUAAAAUCAUUAAUAUUAACAAAUUAUGGAAAUAACCGACCGUCCCUAGUGCAAGUGGCAAAAGGCUUCGUGGUUGGUAUUCGAGACCCAAGUUCGAAUCCUAGUUGAUUCACAUUUCCAGCUAAGUUUAUUUCUAAAUGAAAUAAACGAAACGGGUAGCAUGCUACCUUUCUCUCAAAAAAAAAAAAAAAAAAAAAAAUGGAAAUACAGUAUAGAAUAGUAAAAUUUAAUGGGAUCAUCAUUGGAUUUAACAAUAUUCUAAACUGGUUUGUAAAAGUGCGAAUGUUGGAGUCUUUGUGCAUUUUAAAUUACUAGUAAAUCAAAACUCUUAAUUUGGUGAACUUAAACACCAACUAAUUAAUUCCACACUAAAGCAUGUCUUUGUCCUUUCCAUUAGUUUAUCCCGACCAUACCCCGCUCUCACCAUUGCCAUACCCUAUAACCUUAUUUAUUUUCUCUUGUGUCGAAAUCUCCUAGCCUUGUAUAAUGGGCUCUCUUUUAUCUCCAUUUUUUUUAAUUAAUUAAUUAAGCUCUUCUUAAUCACAUCACUGGUGGUUAUCUGCAUCUCUCUCUUUCUCUCUUUAAAGAAUCAAAUCCCACUACUUGACAAAGUGGACCAAAUAAUUAUUAAGUUGAUUUAACAAAUCAUCUCCAACUACUCCUGUCCAUUAGAUUAUUCUUAUUGUCCAAAACCUAGACGGUGGGCAUAAAAAGUUUGAGUGGAAUCUUAUAAGGAUAUUGUUAAUUAAGUUCCCUAAACCCUAAAAAAAAUGUCUAACUGAAGGGCAAAUAUAUAUAUAGCACCAUUUGUCCCCUGAACUUUUGGCCAACUUUAUUUUGGUACUUAUACUUUUAAGUUUGACAUUAGAAAUUAAUUAGUUUAGUACUCGUGGAUAUUUACUAUUAUAUGACAAAUUAUUUAAUUAUUGACUACACCUAUUGCAACUGUCUAUUUAUUGAUCUUUUAUAAUCUCAUGUUCAAUCCUAUUAUUUAUUGAGCUACAACUUUUUCUCCAUAAAACCGAUUGUUCCUAGCGCAAGUGGCAAAGGCUUGAUGGUUGGUACCCGAGUUCCCAAGUUCGAAUCCUAAUUGAUUCACAUUUGCAGCUAAGUUUAUUUCUAAAAAAAUAAACGAAGCAGAUAGUAUGCUAUCUUUCUCUCUCAAAAAAUAAACUUUUUCUCCAUAUAGAGAUUAGAAAACUGAAUUGAAAGUAUAUAUGAGAUAAGUGAAGAAAUCAAUAUAUAUAUUUAUUGCAUAUGGAGAUCUAUAGAUGAACUAGGCGCGCGCUAGCAAUAAUUUUUUUCUUAUAGUGAGGACUGAAAUGAAAUAUUAAAUGAAUGUUAAGGAAUUAAAAUAAAUUAUUAUUUAAAUUAAGCUUGAAGUUGUUGCAUAUCAAAUUUAAAAUUUCAUGGACCACAAAUGAAAUUUGAGUUAAAAUUUAGGGGCCACUAGCUAGUGCACUUUAAUUACCCUAUAAAUAAAUGGUAUAUGUUUUUGUUUUGUUUGGCUACAUUUGUAUGUGGGUUUCCCUUGAAUCUUGCAAAUGAUUGCUUAUAUUUUGUAAAGAGUUGUAGAUGUUAGACAUGGAAAAGAUUACAAGUUUUCUUAAUUUGAAAACAAUAUAUACUGUCCUGUCAUUUCUCUCUAUGUGGUACCUUAUAAAUCUAAUACUUUUAGUUCUCGGGUAAAAUUCUUUAUUAAGGCAAUCCUCACCAUGCAUCGUGCCUUAUCAUUUAAUAUAUUGUUGCAUAAAAUUUAUAAUUCCUUUUUAAUUUCCUAGCGGCAAUCCAUCCUAUGGGUGGGGUGUUCUCAUUGAUCUCAUUCAUAUAUAUGUCACCGGUGAAGAAAUCUCACCCCUUAGAUGGAUAGAGUAUAUGAUUUACAUUUUUAUUUGGGAUGUAUGAGCAGCUAGCAUUGCACUAUUUAUAAGAAAAAUGCCAGUCAUACACUCCAUUUGGGGUGUUUACCUUACACCUUACCAAUCCUAUAUAUAGGGUCUGUUUGUUUGGGUGAAAGUAGAAAGGGUGAUGUAGUUUUUGGUCGUAAACGAUCAGUUUUGCUGUUUGUUUGAUCGUAAUAAUUAAAGAUAUGGUCGAAACUCAAGUUAUCCAAAACAACAUAAUUGACUUCGGCCCACGCGGGCCGAAGUCAAUUAUGUGAAGAAAGGUGAAGGAAAAAAAUAAAAUAAUAAUAAGUAAUAGUAGUUAUAUUUAAAUAUAUUUAAUUAGGGCAUUAAUUACUUUUUUUAUUUAGUUUGCAUAUUAAAAUAUGAUAAAAUUUGAUUAGUUAAGUUUUAUUAUUUUCUUUAUUUAGUUUAGACAUUUAAAAUAUGAUAAAAAUUGAUUAGUUAAGUAUUUAUAUAUUUUCUUACUUCAUAAUUUUAUUGUUGUAUUAUUAUAAUUUAUGUAUUAAAAAAUAAUUUAGUUGUUUUAAAUUAAAAUUUUUAAUUUUAUACAUAAUUAUAUUAGUUUUAUUUAUUAUAUUUAAAAUUUAUUAUUUAUUAAGUUAUUUAUUAUUUAUAUAUAAAUUAUAGUUUUAUAUUAUUUACUUUCUGCCAAACAAACAAUAAAACUGAAGAAACUUCACUUCCAUAACUAUAAAACAAAUUAACAGCAAAAGAGAAGUAGCUUUAAUCGAACUCCAUUUCAACCCAAAGUCAAUUUUGGUAAAACAAAUAGGCCCAGAGGCAAGGUGUUUCCACCAUCUCAUCGAUGUGACUGGUAGAAAAAUUUCACCUAUUGGAAAGAUAAGAUGUAUAAUUUAUAUAUAUAUAUUUUUUACAUAUAUGAAUAGCAUUGCUCUGUUCAUAAAUUCUAGGCGUAUGUGCAUCUUAUCUUUUGGUAUUGUUCUAUGACGCAUAUAAAAUAAGUGAUAAAUGAUCAUUAAGGUUUUUCAUACUAACAACAUAAAUUAUGUUAGAGAUAUAGAGUAAAAAAACUCAGAAAUUUCAUUUCCUUCCAAGUUUAUUUGCCAUUUUCACUUUCGUUUUCCUUCCAUUUUAUCAACUUAGGUUUAAAACUUGUGGGAUUACUCUUUUCUCUCUUGAUGUCUAGUCCCAUACUGGAAGUGGAACUAAUAGCACAUCUACUUAUAUUUUGGGACGUGACAUAAGCCCUUAGGGGCUUGUAAAGAAAGAAAAUUGGAUUUGAGAAAAAACUUUUAAUUUAGUGCGCACACGCACACCGCACCAAAUCAAACCAAACGAUACUGUGCGUGUGCACCAAAUCAAACCAAACGAUACUCAUGCGUCAUCGUGCAUGAGAACGUGCGCUGAAUGUUGCGCAAUGCUCAUCCCACAUAUCUAUAGAAUCCCUUAUUAUAACUCAUCCCACAUACCUAGAGCAAGUGGCAAAAGGCUUGGUGGUUGGUAUCCGAGGUCUCAAGUUCGAAUCACAUUUCUAGAUAAGUUUAUUUCUAAAAAAAUAAACGAAGCGGGUAGCGUGCUGCCUGUCUCUCAAAAAAAAAAGACUCAUCCCACAUACCUACAGAACCCCUCCUUGUUGUAACAUGGUGUUGAACAAACUCUCUAUCAACCUCCACCAUCAUGAUUACUAGUGAAGGCCCGCGCUACGCAGCGGAAAAUUUAUGUAAAUUUUAAAAAUUUUAAAUUAUAUAGUAAAUAGCACCUAAACUGUAAAGUCAGCAAUAUUAGAAGAUAUUCGAUUUAAAAUUUAACUUUUUAAUUUAAAAUUAAAUUUUAAAUUUUAAAUUUAAUUUUUUAUUUUUUGAAUGUGAUCUAAAAUUAUACGAAACAAAACAAAAAGGAUUAGAAAAGAGGGAAAAAAGGGGAAAAAAGUUAGAAGAGGAAAGGGAAAAAAAGAGAGAGAGGAGUGGGUCCACAGGAAAAAAAGCUUAAAAAUAAAAAUACUAUAUAUAAUAAAUAAUUAAUUAAAAAAAAUAUUAUAUUAUAUAAUAAAUUAUUAUAUAAUAAUAUAUCCAUAUUAUAAAAAUAUAAUACUAUGUAUAUUAACUAAAUAUAUAUUUAUAAAUAAAAUUAUAUAUAUAUAUAUAUAUAUAUAUAUAUAUAUAUAUUAUAAAUAAGAGUCUAGCUAUGGUGCUUGUAAAAGCACCAAGCACUUGGUACUUGUAAGUUUUUUACCGUUAGAUCUACUUCUCGGAUAUUUUCAACCAUUAGAUUAUACUAUUCAACCAACAACUCACUCAACCCUAGGAAGCCCACAUCAUCCUAACCGCAUAUCUCUUAAUCUAAUGGCUAAAAAUCUACAAGCACCAUUGUCUUGGUACUUUCAAAAGUAUAGAAGCUCAAUUCUUAUAAUUAAAAAGAGAGAGAGAGCUAGGUUGACUGCUCUCUCUCUCUUUUGGUCCACGAGGUGAAGCACACCUCGUGGACCGCUUGCAAAGGGCACAUCAGCUGCGCCAUGUGAGCCCCGUGUUUUUUAUUGUAGCUUUUCGUUUUCCGCUUCGGGGUCGUGUGUUAACGGACACAGGGAGAGUGGGGAACUCUGUUGUAGUGUCUCCUACUCAUGGCAAAGAUGAGAUAAAGGAAGAAGCCACCUUAGCUUAGUAAAAGACGUUGGUGUUGUUUCGUGAUCUCCUCCCACUCAUCGGAUUCGUCUCUCGGCCCUCACGUGGGGCUCCUGCUGCGGUUAAAAAGUCCCCCCACCCCCCCGCACAUGGGCGGCCGAAAAAAUGCUAGUUGUACGUCUCCAAAAAGGCUUAUUAUGUACGACCAUCUAUUUAAUGGUGGAUGUUUCUAAACUUUUUAAUUGUUUUAUAAACGAGUAUCUGAACUUUCAAUUUUGAGGAUCGCACUCUCUAAACUUCUUCUUCUUAAUUAAAAUUACUAAUUAUACGAUCAUUUUAAUUGAUAACUAUAUUGUAGUUUCAAUUUUGACAAUCUGAACUUUCAAUUUAUUUUUCCAAUGGAAAGCUUCUCUCGUUGAGGAGUCUUUUGAUAUGCACGCAUCACAUAGUUGGGGAACUCCCCAACGAAGCGUCGUUAGGGAGCUCCGUCCAGCUACUAAAGUUUUUUCUGAUAGGAAAUCACUAUCUUAUUUUUUAGGACAUUAAAAAGGAAAAACAAACAAAUGUGAUUGUUUCAAUCAGUCACUUUUCUUCUUUCUCUAUACCAUAUACUUAGUUUCCUAGCAACCGUCAAUCAGAUUAAAACCAAAUGAGUGAGAUGCGUGCGUUUAAUAAUAAAAAUAAAUAUAGCAUUUAAAGGAAGUAGCUUAAGAGAAGGUUGUAAAGAUGCUCAGGUGAUUUAAGAGUGAUACUGUUCAUAUAGAACUGGUUUCAAUACAAACAUAGAGAUUCAUUGAAUCAUUUUAUUAUUUGCUGGACGAAUUCGAUCACAUGUUAUAAAGCUUAUAUGCUUUUACUAAAGCAGAUCCGGUAAUAAUACCAUUCUCUGGUGAUGAGGUAUUAAGAUUGUGGUCGGUUUUCACAAUUAAUUAAUUGUUACGCACAUGCACAUGAAUGUUAAAUAACUAAUUAUUUAGUAAAUAAAAGAGCUGCAAGACUUUAGUAACAUUUAGUGCUUUGGUUCGUGAUUAAAAUAAAAAUGAGAAAUAAAAUUGAGUUUUUAUUGGAAUAUGAAAUGGAAUUACGAUUUAUUCAAAAAUAUUUGAUUUAUUAUAGAAAUCAGAAUGACUAAUUGUACAUCAAGAAUUUUGAGAGAAUUUUUUGGUUAAGACAGAGCAGAGUGAUGAAGGGAGAAAAGGAAGAGAUAUUUGUAAGAGAAGAUUUUGAGUAGCUUACUCUGUAAUGAACUAAUUUAUAAUUUAAAGCUAGAUUUGGUCAUAAAAAAAUUUAGGCAUUUUUUUUCGAGAGUGGAAUGAAAAUCAGAAUUCUAUCAUUCUAAAAUAUGACCAUCGAAAUCGAUGAAUUUAAUUCUGUUUUUAGAGUUCAAAUUAGGGCAUGUUUGUUUCAACGUAAGUAGACUUGGGGUGGAAGUGGACUUUGGGUUGAAGUGGAGUUGGGGUGAAAAUUAAUUCACUUCCGCUGUUUAUUUCUAACGAUGGAAGUACAGUUCUGCAAGUUCUGUUGUUUGUUUGGUUGGAAGUAAAUAACGUAAAAAAUGUAGCUCUUCACCUCUGGUAUACUUACCUCCGAAGUGAUAUCAUUGUCUAUUUUGUAACUUAGUGAAUAAUAAAUUAUAAUGAAUAAAAAUUAAUAUAAUUAUAUAUAUAUAUAUAUAUAUAUAUGUAUAAUUAUAAAAUAAAAUUUUAAAAAAUUAUAUUAUUUGUUUGCAUAUAAAUUAAAAUAAUACAACAAAUAAAAUUCUAAAGUUAAAAAAUUAUUAACAUUUAACAAAUUCAUUUUUCAUCAUUUUCUAAAUAUACAAAUUAAACAAAAAAUAUAUUAAAACUUACCUAACCAAAUUUGAUCAUAUUUUAGACAUACAAUCAAAAUAAAAAAUUUAAUUACUUCCACAAUUGAAUAUAUUUGGAGUUGGGUCUGGGACUCAGGAGAGGAAAAGGUAGAGAAGAGGGAAACCCUAACCUAUGGUAGUAAAUUCGCGAAUUAUUCGCGAAUUAUUUGCGAAUUUUUGAAGAAACGAAUUAAACGACCAAAUUCGUAUUUUUUCUAAAAAUUCGGAAAAAAAAUGAUUGUUUGAUAAAAAAGACUUAUUCGCGUAUUAUACGUGCGCCGAAUUAUUCGGAGCCAAAAAAACGCAGCCCGCAUGCGCUCCAACGCCGCACGCGCUCCCGCAAGGCCCACGCGUAAGGCCUGCACCCCUCGAGCGACUUGAGCGCCUCAAGCGCCCGCGCGCACCUCGAGCACCUCGAGCACCUCGAGCGCUCGUGGCUUGUGGCUCGCGGUCGCAGCUCGCGACUUGCGUGCCUCGCAGGCCGGCUAGCCCAAAACAGAAAAAAUUCCAAAAAAUCCCCUUUCGAAGCACCUCACCCAAAAACAGAAAAAAAAAAAAACUCUUUUCAAAUUUUUUACUUAAUUAACUUAAUUUUGUAACUAUUUAUUCUUAUAUUCUUAAGAAAUAUGAGUAUUUAUACUAAUAACAUAAAUCUUGAGAGAAAAAAAAACUUAAUUUAAUAGCCGAAUUUUUGAUCCCGAAUUUUUAAUUGAUAAACAUAUAAUAUCCGUAUAAAUCACGUAUCCGAAUAAUUGACGAAUCCGUUUUUCAGCCAUAUUUUUUAACGAAUUUAAAAAUUAGAAGACGAAUUUUAUCCGAAUUAUACCCGUACCGAUUUUUUGCCGAAUCCAAAUUAAAUAACUACGACCCUAAUACAUUAAUUCCCACUCUUGCCUCUUUUCACCUCACCGAAAUUGACUUCGCCCCAUGGGAGGGGGAAGUCAAUUUCAUUUUUUUGAGUGAACUAGACUUUCGGGCAUAAUAAAAUUACAGUAAACCAAACAAUGGAAGUGGUCUAUUUUUACCAAAAAUUACUUCUUCCUUUCCACUUCUACCCCACUUCCGUGCAAACAAACAAGCCAAUGAGCAAAGCAAGCCAUUAUAAGAGUCAACUAGUACACACACAUACUAAUUAAAAUUAUUAUAAUAUAAACACCUUUUAAUACUAUUCCUAUAACACCUUAUUUAGUAUUGUUAUUCUAAUUAAUUUUUUAUAAAAAAAAUUUUAUGCGAUUGAAGGCCAAUUUGUAUAAAAAAAUCUACUAGUUUUGCACUUUUGCAAAAGUGGGCCACCUUUUUCGAUUUUGCAGAUUCGGGUCGGAUUUUCAGCAAACUGACUAAAAUACCGUUGUACCUUUUUCUCUCUUCUCUUUUUUUUUCUCUCGUUCUUUUUUUUCUUUCUCUUCCCAGAAAGCAGCGGAGGCAAAGGCGGAGGCGGAGGCGGAGGCGGAGGCAGCCCGCUUCGGUUUUGUCCGGCGCAUCCUUACCUUCGCUCGUGCACCCCCCACCUUCCUCACCUCCGACCCCGCCGAGACCGUGUUGUGACUUUCUUUUUCCCCUCUCUGACCUUCCUCCACCGCCUCCGACGACGAAGCCUAUCUCACCCUCUCUCGCCCUUCUCGCUCUUUCCCUCUCCCUCCUCCUUUGCCUCCUCCGCCACCUCCAACGACGACGCCUCUCUGCCGACAUCGGCGCCGCGGAGGUCGCUACGGCGCCGCAGCCUCGGAGCGGGGGGUCUUUAGCGGCAUUGUCACCGGCGCCAUGGCCGUUGGUGGAAAAACAUGACAAAAAAAAAUUAUAGAAGAAGAAAGAAGAGAAAAAUAAAGACAAAAAAUUAUAUAAGAAGGAAGAAGAAUAUAAAAUUGCACUGUUAAAAUAAGAUUACACUGUUUUAAAACAAAUUUGUACUAUUUUAAUAAAAAAUUGCACUAUUUGAUAUAAAAAUUAUACUAUUUUGGAAUAGAUUUUACACUCUUUAGGCUAAUGUUGCACUAUUUAGGAGAAUUUUGCACCAUUUUCCUUUUCUUUUUCUCUUUCUCUUCUUCUUCCUCUUCCACUGCUGCCUCCCGCCCGCCCGGCCCAAGGUCUCCCCACUCGCCAGGCCCCUCAUCUCCCUACCCUUCGGCCGCGUGACCACCGUCGUGGCCUCCUCCCCCGCAGAUGGCGACGCCCUCGAGGUGGAACCAGGCUGUCACGCCCCGGGACCGAUACCAAUUUGGGCCGGCCCGGGCACGUCAAACAGACGCCGAACGAACAGAGUUUCCCCUGUCCGCCCAAGGCUCAUCACCUGUAUAUUUUCAAGUAGAGAAAAGCACUAGCGGAAACAUACACAAUGGCUUACACGAGGGUAAGCAAUAGCCAUGAGUGAAAGAAAGGAACUAAACAACUACACAAGUACUAUGAUUCAAUUUUUGAUCACAUACAUUGCAUUUAACCUUCAUAUUCAUGAUUCUUAAGCUAAUGUCAUAAAAAGCAUUGGGCUUGGAAAUGGCACAGUAAGCCAAUGAAAUAAACAUGACAUUGGGCUUCGCAAUUGCUAUAGUAACAUAAUCAUCAUCAAAUAAAAAAGUAGGUAUAUGGAAUUGGACUUACCAACAAAAUGUCAAAGAACGACGCAGUAGGCACGGAAUAUGGCGCGAUACCUGUAACGCCCCAGCUCGCCGGAUCGCUCUAAAACCCUUCUAAAAACAGAGUGGCGUGAAAACGUGACAUUACAAAGUUUGACAGAUAGGUAGUACGCGACCCAAUCUCACCGACUUUCCCACUAGAAAUAAACUCAGCUGCAAACAUAGAAACAACUAGGAUGUCACAACCCGGGGCUCGAGGUACAAAGCCAUUUUCAAAACCCAUUACCAUCUUGAAAACUCAGGGUAGCGGAAGAUGUACUUUUUUUUUUUUUUUUUCAACCUGGCCCACGUGACGUACAGACCCGCCACAAAUACAAAGUUCCUCUGUCCACUCGGACAGAGUCUCCUUUGUAUUUGCACGGCGUACCAACGGAUACAACAGGAUCACAACCACAACCUACAAUUACCAAUCAACAACCAAAGCAUGAUAUGCAUUUCCAUACAGCUAACAAUCCUUAGAGAUGAUGCAUGCCUCUAAGCACUCCUUAGGCGCUGGAUGAUGCAAUGCACAAUACAACAACCAUCCUAUUUAAGAAUGCUCCCCACACAGAAGCUUUUAUUUUUGAACUCUAAUUCAUUCAUCAUGAAAAACCAUUUGAAAACCUUUUGAAAACUGUUUCCCACACGGAAACUCUAUUUUGAAAACCGACUACCUCGAGGGGUAGAAAACCACGAUGCGUAAAUCCAUAAAUACAAAUCCGAGAACCACAAAGUAUACAAACAUCCCAAAACUGAAGAUCCAUAAACCAAAUCCACAAUUCCACAAAUCCACAAAUUCAACCAGCUCACAACAUUCAAACAUCAAGUAUGAUCAUCUAACUGAACCAUAUAAACUAACUAGGCUAUAACAACAAAAUAGUAAGGAUAAAAACUAAAUCGAUAACCUGGGUCGGAAGCUCUAUCGACCGCUACGAACGUACCUCACGUCUCGUCCCAAAACUCAUCGCCUGCAAUACCUGAAAAAUGGUGGGGGAGGUGAGAACAUGUAAACAUGUCUCCCCUCCCAGUGGGUACCGCAAGCCGAUGAAGGCGAGGAGUACUCACCGGAUCAGGAAGAGCUAAACAACAGUACGGGUCAGUAGAAAUACAGUAGCAAUAAUAAUAAAUGAAAGAGACAUAUAUAUGAAAGAAGUACAACUACCGCUACUGUAAUGGACAACUGAAUGUAUACAUGUAUCAAGACUAUAGUAGCAAGACGAUGUAAUGAAAGAACUGAAGGUAUACUAACAACAACCGCUACUAUAGUUAUAUGCGUCAACCGGACAAGAAGUCCAAAUAUACCCAAUCUGGUAUCUGCUAUAUUGGUCCGCAGACCUCAAGCGCUGCCUGUCACUAACCUGCACCGACCUGAUUCACCCGCCCCAUAGGACGACCCAUCCGGAUAAGUACACCUCCGAUCGGUGGCCAAACCGAUCCGGUGUCGUGAAUACCCCCAAGUGCUGUGACUAAGUCAUGCUGGUAUGCUCAAUACAAAAACCGGCUGAAACCGGUGCCUAGGCCGAAGCCAGAAACAAGGGCGUACAACGCCGAACCUCGAUCAACUAGAUCAAAACACAUGACGAGAGAGUCAAUGUGUUGCCUGGACCCAAGGUCCACAGAGUCCAACUGACCAACAAGGUCCCUGAUACGAAGUACGAGAACCGACCAACCAUGUCAACAGAUACGGAAUGCAACAACCAACCAACUAGAUCAACAGAUGCUGAAUGCAACAACAGACCAACUAGGUCAACAGAUACGGAAUGCAACAACCAACCAACUAGAUCAACAGAUGCGGAAUGCAACAACCAACCAACUAGGUCAACAGAUACGCAUGUAGAUAGAACUACUCUACUCCUACUAAGGAUACUAAGCAUGCAAACAACGAGUAGAGUAUAACGAAUAAACAAGGGUGCAAGGCUCAAUAUCCUAUGCGAUAGUAACAACAGAAGGGUAAGGGUAAGAAACCAUCACCAAGCGUGCACCACUGUACCGACGUCGGGUCGAAGUACCCACCUGUACGGAUGUCGCGUUUGUCUCCUGACUGCAAAAGAAUGUCGACAGGACCUAUAGAGGGUCCACCGGGUUAGUAUCUAACCCACAACUAAUAAUCACAGUAUCCACAACCCCACAAACAAUUUCAAGAAGAUCGGUCUCCUAAUACCGAUUACCGUAACUCACCGAAAGUCCCGAAAACCACACCGGGACGCCGUCGGGACCCACUAAGUGUCCCGAACUCACCGACUCGUGCCACGAGUCACCCGCUGCCCCAAAGCACUCCAAUUUGGAUGCCUUGGCAGCGAACACGAGGUAGCACAACCAUACGAUCAUCGCCGGAUAAUCGUACGAAUCCGGGUUCCCAGAAGUGUCUAUUUCGACACCGGAAUCCACCGUCGCUCACCCAUCAUCAUCGAACCCACAAAAUGAUGAUGGUGACCAGCCAACAAGGCUCAGCGACAAAACACGAAGCAACCAAACACCGUCGGAAAGAAUCCGAACCGAAACCGCGUUCUUUCGGCGAAUUUCGCCGAAAAACGCACCGAAAUCGACCUACCGAUUUCCGCGAAAGCUAACGGACCAUGGACAAUCAGUCCAGCGGUCAUUACAAACUCCCACACACUGCCCACAGUAGCCACGCAAAGCACAAUUGCAUAAAAGACCCUCUAAUUACAUAAAAUAUCAUCAUUUUAUGUAAUUUGAGCGAUCAAGCGGCUCGUUCACGCAAACCGAGGACUUUCGAAGUCCGCAGAGACACGUACUGACAGGUCUCGACGUACCGGAGUCCGUGCUCACGAUCCGGAGCACAGCGGCUCGCUGUGGGAAGCGCGGGAGCAACCCGAAGGUUCAGCGAAUAGCGCGCAGUCAGGGAAGAUCGCGCCGAACAGAACUAACCGGACACUUCUGAUCCAAGGGAAGGUGAGCAUUGUGAUCAGCACUGACCAGCGGUCACCGUGCUCACCUCCGGAGGCAUCGGAACAGCCUCGGAUCGCCGGAUAAGCGUGCGCAAACUCAAAACAGCAGCCAAACAGGCUCGACGGGGUCGACACCGCCAAAACAGCAGAACGGAGUCUCCCCGACAGAAACUAAGGUGAGCACGAUGAUCAGCAACUUGCCAGGAUCAUCGUGCUCCCUUCCGUAGAGAUCGGGGAAGCUCGGGAAGCCCAGAACAAGAAACCCACUCAAAUAAGCCCUAUUUCGGGCUUGGCCGGAGCAACCUUGCUCCGGCCGGCCUCCGGCGGCACGGCGGCGCGCGCGGGGCCCUGAGUCGGGUGAGGGGGAGGUGAGGAACUCCGUGCUCACCUCGGUUGGCGACGAGAAGCGGCAGUGGCAGCGGCGGAGCAAGCUCGGCCCGCAAGAGCUAGGGCACGGACUCCAAGGAAGCUGCGGCCACGGCGGCGACUGGGGAAGGUCGGGGACGACGACUGCGGGUCCCCAGAGGCCGGAGGAGGAGGAAGGAGGCGGCCUCGAGAGGCGGCGGCGCGGGAAAGUGGUCGCAAACAAGAUCGGCCUGGGCUCGGGCUGGGGUGGCCGCGGCUGGCCGAGGCGGUGAAGGCGGCGCGCCGGGGCGGCGGCGACCGGAGGGAAGGGGCGCCCGGGCACGGAGGGUGUCGGCGGGAGGGUUUCCAGGCGGCGGCGGUGCAGGAGGGAGGUCACGAGUGGGUCACGGCCAGGGCUCGGUCUGGGCUGGCAGAUGUGGCCCGGGGCGGCAGCGGCGGCGCAGGCGACGGCGGCGGUCGGCGGGGAAGGUCGCCGGAGCACGGGGCGACACCGAGGGAGGGUCCGAAGGUGGCAGCAGUCUCGGGCCUCCACACAACCCGAGAGGAGAGAGGAAGAGAGAAAGAGAGGGAAGAAGAUGGAGAGUGGUGGCUGCCGCGUGGUUGGCCGGCCGGGGCUCGAUCGGCGGCGGCCAGGGCACGCGCAGCAAGUGCAGGGAAGAGGUAGGAGGCGGCUAGGGGGCUAGGGCAAGGCUAGGGUUAGGGUUGAGUGGCUCCAAACCCUAAAGAGCCUAUAAAAGUAAGGUGCAACAUGCAAAAAGGUCCCCCAAACAUCAGAAUUACAAUCCGAGUCCCUCACAGUACGAUUAAAACGCAUGAACGCCCCUCCACGUGCGAUCCCACGCGAAACGGUACAUAAAAUAUCGCGACUUUUGCGAAAUUACCGUUUUGCCAACAGCGACCUCUCCUCGAUCAACGUGCGAUCUCCGUAGAUCCGUCCGUCAAAUUUGCGAAUGGAUUGCACCAGUGCGAUCAGCACCUCAGAGACAACAAAGCUACUAUUUUGGUUCACCUCGAUCGACCACGGAUUCGCGACAAAAUCCAACCUUUCAUUCCAACAGAAUGAAUAACACAAAAAUACAUAUAAAACAUGUAUUUUUAUAUUUUCUCGAAAUCCGUGCGUCAAACUCAAAAUCCAUCAGCGCCAUUGGUUCCAGAACAACUGAACCGGUCGAAACGAGCUAUUGGACCGCUAGGAACGGAGUCCGAUACGAGCCUGAAGCCAACUUCACACCGUGGCUUCUCCGGAAAAUCGAGUUACUAUUCACUUUAAGUGAAACUAAAAAUUGCGUAUCUUCUCCAUUUUAGCUCAUUUUCUUCUGAAACUUGACGAGUGCUUAUGUAAUUAAAUUACACACAUAAACAUCGUCAACUGAGAGCUUAACUACACUGCAAAAGUCUCAGUCCUUACACUACCAUUAAAAUUGUAAAUUUUGAAACACUUUGAUCAUUAGGUCAAUGAUGUCAAAAAGAUUUGAAAUUUGGUUUCUAAAUAUUUCAAGUAGUAUAGAUCAUAUUCAACAAUGCCGAUUGUCUAUUUAGAGACUCUAUCGUUGAAAACAAAUUGGUGGCAAUAGAGCCGAUUUGCUACCGAUAAGAUCCAGCUCAACUCUCUCUCUCUCUCUCUCUCUCUCUCUCUCUCACAUAUAGAGUUGAGCUAGAAUACUAUCGAUAGCAAACGAGUUCCGUUGCCACCCAUUUGUUUUCGAUGAUGGAGCCUUCAAAUCGACGAUUGGCACCGUUGAACAUGAUCUAUACCACUUGAAGUAUUUAGAAAUCAAAUUUCAUACAUUUUCGACAUUGUUCUCCUAUCCAUCGAAUGGACACAAAAAUGUACGGCUGAAAAUGAAUAUUCUUUAAAAAAUUAUAAUAGUAGUCUUGUAAUCAAGAUCAAGAAUAUAGAUCUUGUUUUAAAUAGUUUAAAGAAUUUUCUAACAAAAAUUCAAUUGAUUUGGAUAUCUUUACGCCGUUAAACAAAAAAAUGCCUCAUAUCGACCAUUAAAAUUACAAAUUUUGAAGCCCUUUGAUCGUUAGGCAAAUGAUGUCGAAAAGAUUUAAAAUUUGAUUUCUAAACACUUCAAAUGGUAUAGAUCAUGUUCAACGGUGUCGAUCGUUGAUUUGAAGGCUCUAUCAUCGGAAACAAAUGGGUGGCAACGGAGCCUAUUUACUAUCGAUAGUAUUCUAGCUCAACUCUAUGAGUCCGGCUACUAUACUCUUAUGAGUAUAGAACCUAUUAUACUCAUAAGUUUUUGGCCGUUAGAUCUACCCUUUAAUUAUUUUCACCUGUUAAAUUAUACUAUUCAAUCAACCACCCACUCAACCCUAGGGGCUCACUAUUAACUUAACUGUAACCACUUUCAUCAUAACCACACAUUUUUUUCAUCUAAAAAGUGGCUCCCACCAAAUCUGUUGGUGUGGUAUUUUAUUCCGCAUAGCACUUAUGUAACGACCCAGUCCACUAGCAACAAUAACUCGUUGGGCCCAACAACUGGCCCAAAAUGCUUAAGCCCAGUUGUUAUUACUAGUGUUUAAGUCUCUUAUAAACCCAAUGACAACCUCAUUCCCAUCCGAUGUGGGACUAGUGUCACAGACUCCCCCCGUUAAGGCCCUGACGUCCUCGUCAGUCCAAUCACACACAGCCCAAGAUCACCAUGCGAUGUGAGACUCAUCUCGCUAGCCCGUCAUCCAGACCCUCGCUCAGCCGAGACUCGUCACACAUGUCCAGCUGGUGAACCGGCUCUGAUACCAAAUGUAACGACCCAGCCCACUAGCAACAAUAACUCGUUGGGCCCAACAACUGGCCCAAAAUGCUUAAGCCCAGUUAUUAUUACUAGUGUUUAAGUCUCUUAUAAACCCAAUGACAACCCCAUUCCCAUCCGAUGUGGGACUAUUGGGGUGUCACAACUUAGCUCUCACACUUUCGGCUUGUAUUUGGCUUUGAUACAAAUUAUAACGACCCGACCCAAUGGCAACAAUAAUUCGUUGGGCCCAAACCACCGACCAAAAUACUUAAGUUCAGUUAUUAUUACUAGCGUGUAGCCCUCAUAUAUUUUAAUCAGAAUUAUUUUUCCAGCCGAUGUGGGACUAUUGGGGCGUUACAACUACAAUGUGCAACUUGUCAUGCUAGUUUUAACUGACUUGUGGGAAUUCGCACUCUACUCCCAAUGGCCGGCUGAGCCCCGUUCUGCACGCUGUAUAACCAUAGUUUAAUCGAGACCCAUAUCACAUUUCUGAUUAAUUAUUGAAUUUAAUACUAAAGUAUAAUGCUCUGCUUUUUAGGAUCACUCAUUCUAAAACUAUUCUAGUUCUAACAUUUUUAAUCCUUUUAUUCCCUUGAAUCCAGCCUUACAAUCAUAAAAUUAUUUUUUGAGAUUUUUUUUUUUUUUCAUUUUCAAAGAAGGUAUAGAAAUGUAUGAUAAAAAAGUUCAAGAGUUGGACUAGCUGGUACUUGGUGGUCUUCUCAUAUCUGUUGGAUUUUUGUGGUAGGGUUGGUUAGACUUUGAUUCUUUCUUGCAUUUUCAGCUUCUACCCUAUGAACUCACCUAGUUUUUCAUUUGACCCAUGGGUUAUUGUUUCUAAUGUGUCCCUUUUAUCCUUUCCACAUCAUUAUAGGAUGAAAAUCCCAAUGAAAAAUGUUUCCUUCUAGUCUUAGUAAAUGAUUUCCAAGUCAAAACAUCUCAAUCAUGUGUUGUUUUUGAUGUGUUUCUUAUUGGAAUUGCUUGUUCAUUUUGACCAAGAAAGUGACCAAUAGAAUAACUUAAAACUCAAGCCUAUUAAAAAAUUUAAAAUUUAUUUCUCUAUAUUCAAAUAUCCUUCUAAAAUUUAUUCCCACCGGUAAACCCUAGAGAAAAAAAGUUAUUUGAGAAAUUCAAUAAAAAUAUUUUGAUCAUCCAGAGAUAAAUAAGAAAUUUUUAACAUUUUGAAGAAUAUAUUAGAUAUUAUUUCUAAACUUUUAUUGUCCCCUUUUUUUGUGCACUUUAUUAAUAGAAUAAAAAAAAACACACACACAUGAACAAAAUGCACUCGCGUUCAGACACAAUUACUAUUCAGAAGGUCAUGAUUUGCCCAAAUGAAUCUAAACUAACCGAAAGAAAUUAAGUGUCGUCAUGUGAAGAGAAAACAAACUCUAUGUAAAAGAUACAACAGUCUGGAUUUUUCUAAACUUUUGACUUACCUUCUUCCGUUAGCUAUUUUGAUGAUUUCGUUGGAAUCAAAUCAAACGCCCAGAGAAGAUGCAUGCGAUCAAGAGUUGCUUUAGUCAAAAGGAAAUCACAUGCAUAUCUUGUAAUCGUUUGAUUUUACCGGAAUCCUUCAAAUUACUAAUAGAAGUUAAAAUGGUUAUUAAGUAGAGAACAACUUUCGUUAUCGUCGCUUUAUCUCCGAAUGAAUCAAACGGGCCUACCAAGCGUAAUUGACCAAUUUCAACGGAUUGAUCAAGAUUCAAAAAGCACCAAAUCACUUGAUGGCACUCAAAUUCUUUCCCAUCGUGUGGGUCUUACCAAAUACUUCUUCUGGUUGACCUGUACAAUGACAAUAAUGGCGCAUUUGGUUCAAGAGGAGAAAUCAAAAUUAGAAUUGAAAUGAAAAUGGGUCGAAAUCGAAGACGGAAUGAUGAAAAUAAUAAUUUGUUUGGUUCAUAAGAGAAAUCAGAAUCAUGUCCAAAUUGAAAUUCGGAAUAAAUUAAAUUUUUAUUAGAAAUUUAAAAUUUGUUACUCAAUUUUUUAAUCAAGUCAGAAUAUGAAUUUGAACUUAUUAUUUGAACUUAAAAUUUUAAUUUACAAUUCAAAUUAAAGGUCAAAGUCAAAAGUCCAAUUUAGAAGUAUUAAAUUAAAAGUGAAAAAAUUAAAAUUUGAAUUGUAAAUUUAUAUUUAAAAUUUGAAUUUGCAAUUCAAAUUAAAGGCCAAAGUCAAAAUUUAAAUUUAGAACUAUUAAAUUAAAAUUAAAAUUUUAUAUUUUAUAUUUUAUAUUCAAAUUUGAAAUUAUGAUUUAAUUUAAUGAAUUUAUAUGAUUGAUAUUUGNAUUAAAUUAAAAGUGAAAAAAUUAAAAUUUGAAUUGUAAAUUUAUAUUUAAAAUUUGAAUUUGCAAUUCAAAUUAAAGGCCAAAGUCAAAAUUUAAAUUUAGAACUAUUAAAUUAAAAUUAAAAUUUUAUAUUUUAUAUUUUAUAUUCAAAUUUGAAAUUAUGAUUUAAUUUAAUGAAUUUAUAUGAUUGAUAUUUGAAUUCAAAUAAUUAUUAGUAGAAAAAUAUAUUUUUUCUCAAUCACUCCGGAAUCACAGUCGACUCCCAUCAUGGAGGUGGGAGUCACUUUUGAGGGAUUCAAAUCCCUUCGGAACCGGCAUCGGAUUGCCAAUCUUUUAAUCCAAACACUAACCAUCAGAAUAACUUAAUUAUUUCGACUCUUAUUCCAAGUUAAAAGUUAAAAAUACUUCAAACCAAAUAUGCCCUAAGGCCCCGUUUGGAUACCCCUAAAAACGUAGUAUAGUUAAACUAUACUAUGCUGGAAGGAAAAUAAUCCUAUGAAGCGUUUGUGUCACGCCCCGGAUUACUCGUUCCCCGGGAGCGCCGACAAAUCCGACGUAUACAAAGGAAUUUCCCCUGUAUACGAAGCGAUAGCUGUACCUAUAGAUCAUACAAAACUACAAACAGUAGUAUAGAGCUGCUAGAAGAACCAGUAAUAAAAACAAACCGAGUUCCAUAUACAUACGCCAAAACCAAGAUAUAAAACUACUCGCACUGGCGAGUUAAAUAUAUAUAUGUACAUGAACUCCAACAAAACAACUACCUGCAGUAGGGGCACCUCUAUCUCGGCUCGUUGGGUAGAGUUCUAACUCGCGACGCCCUUGCCUCGAUCCUGAUCAGCAACAGCAGCAGCCGAAGACGAUGGCUCUGCAAAGAAAAACGGGGUAACAACAGGGCGUGAGAACUACUGUAAAACAAGUAGUCCUCAGUGGGUGCCGCCCUCAACAACAUCGGUCCACCCACUAAGUCUACAGAAGGGAGCAAAGGUAGUAAUAAAUAUUGGAAUGAAAUCUACAGCUACUAUUUAAUACACUAUCAUGCUCUAACUGACCUACUGUAGUAAUGUCAAUCCUGACCCAAUCUCUUUAGGGACUGUAAACAUACCCGUCCCAGGGACUGUGAACACAUCCGUCCCGCCCAGUUGAGACUAUCCAGCUACCUCCACACUAUCCAGUCCGUGGAGAGUAAGUCUAACCGACAUGAACGACACCAACGCGAAAGCACAACGCCCGUCUCCGGAGUGGCACUCGUGGGAGCUACCCAACCGAGUAUACAGCGUAUCUCUGUCGAGCUCAAUCAGGCUCCAACUAGCCAAAGUCAUGUAAACAGGGUCAA
rnacentral:lncRNA from 1 species